GGGGACUUAGCUCAGUGGUAGAGUGCUUGCCUAGCGAGCACAAGGCCCUGGGUUCGGUCCCCAGCUCCGGAAAAAAAAAAGGGGGGGGGGAAGAAGUCCUGAGUUUAAAUCCCAGCGACCCCA
rnacentral:tRNA from 1 species